rnacentral:rRNA from 1 species
CGACGUAAAGAACUUGCCUCACAGUUAGGGACAACAUUUGGAAACGAAUGCUAAUACCUGAUAUUAUGAUUUUAGGGCAUCCUAAGAUUAUGAAAGCUAUAUGCGCUGUGAGAGAGCUUUGCGUCCCAUUAGCUAGUUGGAGAGGUAACGGCUCACCAAGGCAAUGAUGGGUAGCCGACCUGAGAGGGUGACCGGCCACAUUGGGACUGAGACACGGCCCAG